AGUAUUUCUACUCUUUGGGCUCCAUCUCCACACAACACACUUUCAUAUGUCCCCAUGUCCCCAAAGAGCUUUGUUCAAGCUCUUUCCUCCACCUGAAAAGUCAUUUUCCCUUAUAUGCACAAGUAUAAACACUACUUACUCUUCAAAACCCAGCAGAUUUUCCCUUGUCCAGCCAAUAAAAGUCAAACCCUCCUCGCUCAGUCCUGCUGUCACCGCUCUUGUAUUUUGCCGGGCAAUAUAGUCACUUCCCAGUGAGAUGAUGAGCAGCUUAAGAGUAUGGACUGUGUUUUACUCAUUUCUGUUUCCCCGUACAGUUCAGGAAGUAGAAGCUCAGUAAUGCUUGGCUGAGAUCUCCAAGGGCACAUGAACUUCAUUUAUAUGAUCAGCUCUAUUUCUCAAUUCCCUAUGGAAGCUGCCCUUGGCUGCCUCAAAUGGGAGAGUCAGAUUUGCUGCUGCUGCUUCAAUGGGGAAAGAUGGCGGAAAAGGUCAAUGAAACCUUAAAGGCAACAUUAAUAGAUUUUAUCACCAAAAUGGACCUCCAUAUCAAUGAGGACACAGAGAAAAUACUGAAAAAGCAGAAGCCUGGGUGAGCUGUGCUGCUGGCUAUUGGUGGAUGUCCAGAAGGAAGUUUUUGAGCUCUGCUGCUGCCGAUCGCUCUAAAUGGAUGGACUAAAUGGCUCUAAAUGGACAAAAUGGAUGACUUUGAUCAUCAGCCAUUAUCUCCGAGAUGCCGAGAUGCCCUUCAAUAGACGACUGGAUUAAGAAGCUGUGG